GACAGCCAGGAUGUUGGCUUAGAAGCAGCCAUCAUUUAAAGAAAGCGUAAUAGCUCACUGGUCGAGUCGGCCUGCGCGGAAGAUGUAACGGGGCUAAACUGUGCACCGAAGCUGCGGCAGCGACACUUAGGUGUUGUUGGGUAGGGGAGCGUUCUGUAAGCCUGCGAAGGUGGCCUGUGAGGGUUGCUGGAGGUAUCAGAAGUGCGAAUGCUGACAUAAGUAACGAUAAUGCGGGUGAAAAGCCCGCACGCCGGAAG
rnacentral:rRNA from 1 species